rfam:Nasonia vitripennis chromosome 3, whole genome shotgun sequence.
GUUUCCGUAGUGUAGUGGUUAUCACGUGUGCUUCACACGCACAAGGUCCCCGGUUCGAACCCGGGCGGAAACA